CCUACGGGUGGCAGCAGUGGGGAAUAUUGCACAAUGGGCGAAAGCCUGAUGCAGCAACGCCGCGUGAGCGAAGAAGGCCCUCGGGUCGUAAAGCCCUGUCCUCAAGGAAGAUAAUGACGGUACUUGAGGAGGAAGCCCCGGCUAACUACGUGCCAGCAGCCGCGGUAAUACGUAGGGGGCUAGCGUUAUCCGGAUUUACUGGGCGAAAAGGGUGCGUAGGGGGGUUCUAAAGUCAGAGGUGAAAGGCUAGGGCUCAACCGGAGUAAGCCUUUGAAACUGGGGAACUUGAGUGCAGGAGAGGAAGGGGGAAUUCCUAGUGUAGCGGUGAAAUGCGUAGAUAUUAGGAGGAACACCAGUUGCGAAGGCGGCUCUCUGGACUGUAACUGACACUGAGGCACGAAAGCGUGGGGAGCAAACAGGAUUAGAUACCCGAGUAGUC
rnacentral:rRNA from 1 species